rnacentral:rRNA from 1 species
UACGGGGGGGGCAAGCGUUGUUCGGAAUUACUGGGCGUAAAGGGCUCGUAGGUGGCCAACUAAGUCAGACGUGAAAUCCCUCGGCUUAACCGGGGAACUGCGUCUGAUACUGGAUGGCUUGAGUUCGGGAGAGGGAUGCGGAAUUCCAGGUGUAGCGGUGAAAUGCGUAGAUAUCUGGAGGAACACCGGUGGCGAAGGCGGCAUCCUGGACCGACACUGACACUGAGGAGCGAAAGCCAGGGGAGACAAAG